AUCCCCCAAAAUAGUUAUUCAAAAUCUGAAUUUCAAAUUCAUGACCCCAAUCUCCUGUUCUUUGCCAGCCCUUGAGCUCCUCCUGGCACUGGGUUUGCUAGAUGCCUGUUUCCCAACAUGGACCUGAGCAGUUGAGGUCUGCUGCUGACCGUGGUCAAUAACAGACUCCAGGUGGGGAGCUUGGGGGCACAAUUCAACACCUGGCUCUCAGACCAGUCCCGUGCAGCAUCGUCAGCUGAAACAGAUGCUUAAACACUUGUGGUAAAGGGAUCCAGGUGAUGGAAGGAGGUAUUUAAGGCACAGGAGCCCCAGCUCUCAAAAUGGAGGCUAUGGUUGUUGUAAUGCUGAAAGAGGGUGGAGGUUUAAGAGGGAGUGGAAGCCCUCACUGUUUUGUGAAGCUGCUUGGUUCGUCCUGGCCUGGUGCUUGAGCUUUGCCAUGCUUCUUUGUGCGGCACAACUGCUGUGCAGGCACGCAGUCUGAACCCCGGAUGAGAGCUGCUUGUCACACGUGCAGUGAAAGGCUCUCGGUGUGUUUACGUGGUGCUGACAGUUUGAUGCUCGCACAGCACAUGAGCUGAGGCGUUGCUGGCUUCUGCAGGCUUCGUGGUACCAUUCUCCAAGUUCUCCUCGAGCUGAGAAGGCGUAAGGAAACUCCUCUCUUCCCACUUCUCUCCAAACCUGGAUGAUAGAAACACAGUCAUGCACACAUGGAAGUAGUUGCUAAAUGUGGUGGGACUCAUCCAGUCUCAGCUUGAAGGCUAUAUGGUAGGAGUGCAGUUUCUUGACAGAACAAGGGAACCUACGGACAGUUUUGAAGCCUAUUUGAUAAACAACUAACUGGUCAACCUUUUUCUUCCUUCUCUGGGGAGGCGUUGGGGAUGGUGGUUGCACUGCUGAUGGUGUGCCUUAGGACACAAGCAAGCCCUUCCAGCCCUCUGGAUCCCUAUGGGCCAGGCUUAAACCUGCUCAUCCUCCUAUGGUUCAGCCAGAAGUGCCCAAGCACUGCAUCUUGUAUCCCUCCUGAGGAAUUGGGGGGGAAAAAGGCUUACUUUUCUCUUAUGAAACACAAAACUACAGCACUGUGAGUACUCACAGCUGGAGGUAGCUUCCUCUCGCUGGUGUGUGACCACUUAAGACAAUCAGAGCAAAUAGGGCUCAAAGCCUGUGGUUUAACUCUGUAUGCCAUGGUCUUUCUCCUGGGUUUAACCUCUUCGCUCUACUUUGAGGAGUGUGCUUAAUACCUGUGAGCAUGAAGCCUUUGAGAGGGUGGAGAUGCUUGGUUAGGGAGGUGUUGCUCUUUUGUAAGGUGCUUGAGGCUUCAACAGCGUGACCCGAACGAACUGUUUCUUGGAGAAGUGGAGUAUCCCCUUGUUUGUUUUGGACCACGUCUGGGUUUGGGCUUUGGACUUACUCAGCGGCAGCUAGCUCUCUGGUUAUACCUGUCAUGCUCCUCCAUCUCUGCUCAGUCACCACCUACUGCUCCAUUACUUGCCAGGUCUUCUGUGGGGUAUUCAGUAGGGACUGAGUGCUCUGGGGCACUUCAGCCGAGCAGUGUCAAGGGGAGGUCAGGAUAUGCCGCAGUGUUUGUAGAGUCAAGGUUUUUGGGGUCAUCUAGUGGGAGUGAGACCCCGGUUUCAUCCCCCAAGAUGCCUCAAACGGGUGCAGUAUCUGCUCUUAUAGGGCUGCUGUGGCUUUGCAGUGUUCACGGCACUUGUGGUCUGGAGCUAAUGCUUCCUCCACACACACCUGCUUCAAUGGGACUGGGGUUAGGGUCCCUACAGAGCUUUUUGGGUGAGUGGGUGCCUGUUGGGACUUCAGGGCUGAUAAAGGUUUAUUGUCAUCCACGAGAUGUGUUGGUGCUCAACUUAGUUUGCACGUGAGUUACACGAGCAAUUCUGCAAACUUUAUGAACUCGGGGGCCUCAUGAAGUUAAAGUGAAGGUGACAAUUGUGUGCUUUUUUUUUUUUCUGGGGGGACAGCUCUGAUGGAGGUGGGAGACUGAAGCAAUGUUGAAGUGAUGGUUGAGAGGUCUGGUGCAAAAUAAGAUGACAAAGGGUUGUUACUUUUUGAAAAAUAACAUUUGCAAAUAGAUUUUAAGUCUUGUAGAGGAGGAUUUUAGUGCUCAAAUUGGAAAUGGGUAAUACUUUUAACUGUCAUUAUGAUAGCACUUGCUUUAGCUUUCAUAUUAAACUGUACUGUGUUAGUCAUUGCUUGUAGUUAAUUACAAAGUCUUGGCGGUGGAGAGAAGGAAAAGUGGAUGUGGCAAAGAAAAAGGAUGCAAAGCUUAUAGGAUUUUAAUAGAUCUUCCCAAUACCACAAAGUUUCUCUAUCAAAUUGGACUUAAUGCUUUAGGCAACAAAGACAAACGCUUUACACCCAGCUGGCUGCAUUGUGCUUGGGCAGUGACACAUCCACUGAGAGGAGGAUUUUUUUUUUUUUUGGUGGCUUACACCUCCCAAAAGACUCGACUGUGGUAUUGGUGUCUGGCUCAGACCUUCUCCAUCCAGGGAAGGCAGGUCUGAGUCAGGGAUUCAACUCAGCCUCCUUGCAACGCUCAGCCAGUUCAGCAAGCUGUCGCUUUUGGUACGACUUCAACUCCCGUUUAACUGAUUGUCUUCCCUCUGAAACACCGGCUUGCAUAAAGGAUUUCCCUUUAUGCUGCUGGGUAGAUUGCACCAAGCUCGGGCUGAGUUGGGAAACCGCUGCUCUUGUAAUACGGCUUCCACUUGGCUCCGAUUCCACCAGCAGGCGAACCGUGCAGCGACAGGAAACGCGGCGCUCGUAAAAUGGGUGAAGAAAAGCAAAACCCAGCACAGGCGACCGAGAGACAAAAAGAACUGGAGGCUGAAUAACUUUGCCAGAAGGUGCAGGAGGAGGGGAAGCGGUGCCGUGCAACUGAGGUCAGUCUUGCUGGAUCUAUGCUCACGCAGCCCUGGAGGAGCCUCGCCGUGCCCUGUUGUUGGGACGUGUGUGCACCUCUCCUCCCUCUGGCAUCAUCUGCAGCCUCCGCCUGAGAUUGGCUGCUGCCGAGUCAGCCCAUAUCUUGCUAGAGGGAAGAGGGAAACUUGAGACCCACCAUGCCCAAAUAUCAAAUGCUGCUUAGUCAGAUGAAUAGCAGCACUCAUCAGCGGCCAGCCCUGGCUCUUUCCACACUUCAGCAGGGGCAGAGUUGUGCGUCUGAGCUUUGUUUCUCAAUGAAACGCUGGAAGGGGAAAAAAAAAAAGCUUGUGUGGAGCUGGCGAGGCGUGUGGAAAAUCAACAUCUGAGAUGAUAAUGCAAAAAAAAAAAAAAAAAAGCAGAUGAGCUCCUUCCCCUUUGUGCUCCUGCUCUGCUCCUUGUGUGCUUUCCCCAACAUCUGGACGUGAAAAAUGUGAUGCUGACAAAGGGCGAAGCGCUUGAAGCGUUACACUGGGUUCUGCAAGGCUCCAGCAAUAAAAGCUGGGGCUCCUUCCCAGGAUUUCUCCUUCCCAGGUGUUAACCCCGCAGUGCCCCAUAGAUCUGUCUCCUGGUCUGGAAGGUUUUCAGGCACCUGUGGACUUCCGCUGCUGUUUGCAUGCUGGUGCUGAACAGCACUGGCCCCAUGGGUGAUGCUUCAGACCCCCAAAUAGAAGUCAUGGAGGGUGGGGGGGUCCUGCAGGGUGCUUGGGUUGGGAGGAGAAGCUGUUUUAUGCAGACUCUUCUGUAUUUUUUUGUGUGCAUGCACAGCUGUUGCAGUGCAGAGGCCCCCAAAAGAAAAAUGCUCUCGGGCUGGAGGAUCCCAAGAGGUCACAAAUUUUUUUUCCAUGACGUUUUUUCCCCCCUGCUUGGGCCUUUUUCUGGUUUUAACUACGGCUCCUGCAUUUGGACUUCCGAGAUGCUUCUUCAAAUGCUGCUCCCAGACCUUGUGUUUGCAGAGCAGCUCACCUCUGAUGGGUCAGUGCUGUCAAACAGCAAAACUAUCCCACACCCUCUCAGCAGAGUGAUUGGCGGGGCAAGCACCUUUGCUGCUUCCCUGACCCUCUGGGCAACAGCAGGAGAGGAUUAAAACCUUCCCAGAAUUACAGCUGUGACUUCUCUGGAGACUCUGGUGUGCUUUGGAUCGCAGCCACGCAUUUUGGGAGGCUGCACUGAGGGUGGGAUGCCCUGGGUUCAUUUCAGCCCCUAGUUAAGUUUGGCACCUGAAUGCUUUGGUCAGAAGUGACCAAAUUCAACUCAUUCUUCAACCAAAUUGGUGGCUAAUCAACACGUUCUGCUGAAAGAUACCACGAAGCUCUGCCAGAAGACAGAUAAUUUGUGCGUUGUCACUGGGAAGCUGAAAUUUUGGGGCUGAUCACAAUUCCAGCAAGUUCAUCAGCUGAAGCCAGCAGUGUCUAGCAGCUCUUGGAGAUGCAGAUAUGAUUUCUCUCUGCCCAGCAGUGUUUUUGCCUUCAGUGACUGUUUAGUCAAAAAAAAAGGUGACGAGUGGUGAAAUCUAAGAGCUUUUACACAGAAAAAGUGUUGCAACUGGAAAUGUAAAUAACACACUGUUUCUGGAAAUUCAAGUACAAAAUGCUUGCACUGAACUGCCAAACGGUGCAUGAAGUUGCCUUGUUUCAAGACAUUAAGAGGAAAGAAAAAUCUUUCUGCCCCUAGACUUUCAGAAAAGGAUGAUUGGAAGAAAAAGCAAUGGAGACAGGACAAAGAGGUAGUUAAAAAUAUCUAGCUCUGUAGUCUCUAAGCAUUCUGCAUGUCAGGUAUGUAUGUGAAUUUGAAUUAAACUUGAAAUAAUUAAUCUUUUCAUGGAAAUGAAAGGUCUUUCUGUUAGGACAAACACAGUGACCUCAUCAGCAGGUUCUGAGAUGUGGACCAAACUUCUGAAAUUGAUUGCCCUCUCCAACCAGAAAAAGGUUGGGUUCCGAAGUAAAUAACAAGAUUGCUUUUAAAAACACAAAUAGUAUUUCAAAGAACACUAGUUGUAGUAUUUAUUAGAAUUAUUAUAUGUGCAUACUUCAAAUGAGAUCUAAUAAUGUCUCGAGUGUGACUUGUGACUUCCGUGUACUGUUUUCAAAUAGAAAUCAUUUCAGAAACUAUAGGUAGUAACAAUCUGAUCCUCAAGAAAUCCUGGAGUCAUAUGAAGAAUUGAACUCUCAAGAGACAGAAUUAUUUUGGUUUAAAAUUAUGCAAAUGUAUCUCGGGGCUGCCACUUUGAUGGCAUGUGAUGGUCUUGCCCUUUGAAUGAGCAUUUCUCAUUCAGUGAGGUACCUUCUGCAGAGACAGGAAGCAUAGGGGAGCGUUCAGCAUGAAUAAAUGAGAAAAUAUGGAAGGAAAAUAAAUCAAUCCUUCUUGAUAGAUGACCCAACAGGAAAUCUGCAAGCUUCUCGUCAUUGCUGCCUGUGGUUUGGCUUCCUCUUCUGACAUCUCCACAACCAGGAGGUAUGGAGCAGAGUGAGCCCCCUUGCUAGGAGCAUCGCAACUGCAAAGGAAAGAUCUCCAAAUGAUCCUGGAUGCCUCGUGCUUAGAUAUGUGUCACCAGGGUGGUAUUUUUGUGUGAAGGGAAGGGUUAGAGCAUCACAACAUGACAUAAAGGCCCAUGGUGGUGUUUGUGCUCGCAACCCUACUUGGUUCUCACAGGUAUGUGUGCGUGCCAUAAUGACUAACAAACUGUUGGGUGGGAUAAAAGCGGAGUCUAAACAAGAUUUCUCAACCAAAGCAAAUUCAAAUAGGGUUUUCCUGAGUGCCAAUCCCUGAAGCUCCGUCUGGAAACCGAGAGCCAUUCCGGGUUCUUUCCUGUUCACUCAUUAACAAGAAUAAUCCCGUGUAUCAGUCAUCUUUGCUGCCUCUGAGGCAUGAACCGCAAAGGGAAACAAGGCAGUGAAUAACACAGGAAUGAAAACUAUCCCCAAUUUCUACACAUCUGUACAGUUACACCUUGCAGUCAUGCAUCCGAAGUAAGAGGUCGCUGCCUGUACUGAUCCAUUUUCUAGUCAGAUCCAAAUUUUAAUACACAGGCUUGCUCCAACGUUGGGCAGAGCUGAAUCUUGUCGUUGGUUGCGCAAAUUGUUUUGGGAUGGCUGCAGUAAUGGUGUGGUUCUGUUUGUCUUCGUUUUGCAUCAGGACCUAAACUCCUUAAUUCUUGCUGUCUCUAACCUCAUGGCACAAAGCGUGCGUCAAGUUCUUGGAAACGGGCACUCUUCAUGCAGGAAUGCAGGAAAUAAGUAUGCAAAUAUGUAUGUAAUGAAGGAAAUAGUAUGUGAAAAUACUGGAGCUGGCAGAACCUCUUGGCUCACUGAGACCAGCCCCAGUUUGUGAUAGGCUCUAAGAUCCUGUAUCUGCAUUUAUGGAUGUAUCCCGCUGCUUCCUAGCAGUUGUUAGGGGCUAACCUUUUUUUCCUGGAUCUCCUAACCACUCUUAAGAUGUUUGGUCUUGCCAACAUCUUUUUAGGGCUUGAGCGUACUGAAGGAUGGCACGGUACGUGAGGUAAGCCUCGGCAUGGGCUACGACUUGCACUUCUCAUCCCUUAUACCAGCUGAACCUGCUCAUGCAUCCGUCCUCCCCGGGAUCAGUCAGAGGCGGCAUAUUCCUGCAUAAGGCGACACAGAUCUCCAGCGCAUCGUUGUUGGGAUGGAGGAGCUCCAGGUUCCAUCGGAAACCCUUCUCUUCAGUGGCUGGAAAUGCUCUGUGCUUUCCCUGGGGAACUUUACUUUGUAGAGUUGUUUUUUUUUUUUUAAAAAAAGUAGGAUGUAUUCUGAAGUCCACCGAAACUGUUAUUCCUUCUGCUGUUUAUAAGUCUUGAUACGAUGAGGAACCCCAAGAAAGAGAUGUCAACGCUGACUACAGUCUCAAACUAAGGAGAUCAAAGCAGAGAUCUGCUCAGUUACUCAUGCAAGCCUCACUUCCCUAAGAAACCCAGCUAAAAUUCAAUUUAUAUUGCAGUUAAAAGCCCCAUCUGAGAGUAAGACCCCAGCUGUAUGAAGGUGUCAGGUGGAUACAUGAUAAGGGCAGCUCUUUUUCUGGGCACAAUAGAAACAUUACCCUUGUGCACUACGCUCGGAUUUUCUCACCCAACGAUCCCAGCGCUUUGCUGAGCACACUUUGGCUCACAAACUUUGCAAACACCUCUUUGAUGAGGGAGGAAUGUGCACUGUUAUAUGAUCGGGGAGACCGAGGCGUGGUGGAAAGGAGAGGGGCCCUAAACUGCUCGUCUACGUUUAUGUGGAAAGCAUAUUGUAGAGCUGCAGGCAACCCUCAGAUCUUUUGGGCCCUCUCAUGUCCUUGGCUUGGGAUAUAAUGGGCGCUGGCCUCUUUGAAAAUGUGACCCUUAUUCAGGUUUGUGUGAGAGCAGAUGCUCUCUGCAGAUAUCUGGUGUUGUGUUUCUUCUUGUCAAGAAAGCAGACCAUAAUGUGGCUUGUGACUGUACAGAAGUGGGAAGGAUCUUCUUGACCAAGAAUAAGAUCAAAAAGAAAGAGGAGUGCUUUGUACAAGGCUCUGGAUGCCCUUUAGCCUCUAAUCCUCCUCCCCCUCUCUCUCGUUUUUUUUUUAUUUCCUUUUCUUUCUUCUUUAUUGCCUCAAGUCAAACCUUGAUUUUUGGGUUUGUCGAUGGGGUUGACCUAAGCAUGGGACAAGACGUGGAGCUGUGAACAGGAUCUGGAUGUCCAUCUCUUGGUACACGAAGCCCCAGGAUGACCCCGAUAGCAACAGUCAGUGUCUGAAAAGCGUUUUACAAGAGUACGUCACCAUUGACAGGAAAGCAACAGGUGAAUGAGACUUCUCUGCCCUUUUUUUCCUCCACCUCAUGCACCAGGUGGUAUCUAAACAGCUUGGUGUUUACAGGAGAUAACAAAGUCCCACAAGUAGUGCUGUGAUCUGCAAGUUGCUGCUGCCUUCUUGUGAAGGUUUCCAGUUAAUUUGCAUGCAGGACAUCUAGUGUCACCUCUGAAAAGGUAAGGGACAAAGGAACGUCAGGAAAAACAGAACAAGGAGCAAUGAGAUUUCUUGGGGAGAUCUGGAGGUACUGCCAGCUUGUGCUGUGGGAUGUUGGGCCUUGUUUGGGAUCCCUAAGCCAGCUCUGACAACUUGGCGGCGAGAAGAGACAGCAUGAAAACCCCGUGCCUGCUGGAAGGGAUGAAAGGAGUUCUUGUCCUGCAAAAUAUCGCGUUUGAUUUUCACUUUACGCAAUCAAAUUGCUCUGGGAAGGCUGUGAUGGAGGAGUGCAGCCUGUGUUACACGGAAACGUGCGCUUGGCUACGCUCUGGCUUCUGCCACUCACGAAAGGUCCGUACCUGCUGAUGGGUGUACGAGUUUGAGCAGGAACCUGCCCCAUUUACAUACGUUAAAAUAAGUAUUUUAACAAAGAAUGCUGUGUUCUGGCUAAUUCUUCAUUCAGUGCCCUGGUCAGCUCUGAAAUACCAUCAAGGAGAAGUUUGGCCUCGUCAGGGAGAGGUCAUGACUACAAAGGAGCAGAGGCAAGGGAGAAAGGAGCAAGCACGCCAGGAUUUUUCUGAGUGCCGUAGAUCAGUGGGUUGGUCCCUCCGUGCUUCCCACGCUCUUUUUGUUGCAUUCCUGAAAGAAACAUGAUGUAGGAGGCUGGUGCGAAUCGAACAACGUGUCCCGAAACGGCGGUGGCGUGAGCGGGGCUCCCUGCGGUGACGCUCCACCUCCCGCGAACCAGCAGAGAGAGGAAGCAAGCCACAAGUAAUGCGAGAAACUAUUAUAUUUACACUGAUUAUAUUUACACUGCAACGAUCCCUGCUUCUCACACGUGGCAUUACUUUUGCUAGAAGACUUCUGGGCUCCUGUAGCAGGCAGGGAAACUGAGGCACGGAGCUUAGGUCCUUGGUUUGAGGUGAGGAAAUGGCUCGGUGCUAGAGAUGGAGACCGAUUUUGCAGCUCCUGUGCUGGUCAGCCCAAAGUAGUCCCGCUCCAGAGAGCGACCCACCACAAAGCUGUGGUGCCUACGAUGGGAUCUGGGUGAACUUCACACCCUAAUUCUACAAGUUUUAGCCCCCCACAAGCUGCUGCCUAAUGCUGGGGCCUGAAGACACUUUGCUGCCUGUCCCACCUCACUCCAGCCACGGUCCCCCAUCGGUGCACAGGGGUUCCUGGAGCCCCUUUGGUGGUAGUUCAGACCUAGGCCUUCAGGCCCAGGCCACGACAAAGCUCUGUCUCCACACCAGGUCUGCAGGAAGCUUUUUGUGCCUGGCAGUGAGCCCGGGCCAAGAUCUGAGCCCGAUAUAACUCCUGCCCCUUCCUGGGCUGAGCCUGUGCUUGAGCUGGAUUUUUUUUUUUUCCCCUCUGCUUUUAUGGGCUUUCUCCGUUUUUAUUGCGAGCGUAAUGACUGGAAAGCAACGGUCACCAACGGCUCUUGGAGCACGUGGUGGCUCUCCAAAGAGGCCAGGAGUCAGCCACACCUGCGGAACAAGUAAAUAUUCGGGCUGGUACACGCUUCUAGGUUCAGGAGCUGCCUUGCUGCGUAUCCUUCCCAGCAUGGGAUGAUGACAACUGGGGAACGCUGGCCAGCGUUCAGGGCUCCAAGAGAGGAUAGGGACUGACCCUAAAGUCACGAUGACCAAACGAAUCUGUUUCUAUUUUAGUCUGGUUAUUUUUGGUCUUGUAACAGAUGAGGCCUGCUAAGAUGGGGUAAACAAGGAUUUUCUCCAGCGUGUGAGUAGUUGGAAAAACAGCCAUGUGCGUGCUUUGUAACUCCACUGACCUCUCAAUUAAACUACUCUCAAGUAAUUUAAUGUUUUUUUAAUGACAUUUGUGGAAUGAAGUGGGUGUUUGCAAAAGAUGUCGGUAUAGGACUGUAGCUUGCAAGGAGUGACGUGGUCACAGCUCGCUGGGAAGCCGAACGCGUUGUGCAAAGGCAGGAUGGAAAAAACAGGGAUGUGAGUGACCUUUGCCAUGUGAUAUGAAGUCUGUCAUGUAUUGUAAACGUCCCGUCCUACUCAAAGCAAACAGCUAGAGAGGAGACAUCCUUUUCUUCUCCAUCCAUCCAUCCUUGGGACUUUCCGCUCCUCUUUGACCCCUGGUACCACCUUCCUUCUGGUUGCAGCGGAGGGAGGAAAUCUGCUCAGUUGAGAUGCCUGGGAAAAAACGUAUUAACUUGAGUAAUCAGCAUGAUACACCGGGAUACUGAAGGCUUUCGAGAAGCAUGUAAAACAACCUCACCCCUGAAUCUUGCACAGACUGAAUACUGCAGUGGAUGGAGAAAGCUUCCAAGGGAAUCGUGCAGAGGCCGGAGGAAGUUUUCAGGCUAGUUACUAUUUAACAUGAAUUGCUGCAAAGACACAGUGCUCUCCUUCCCUAAAACGAACGGGACUUUGACGGGGCGAAAUCAGGAGAGUUUGGUGGCCAAUGAACGCCGGCUCUCGGACCUUCUGUUAGAGAAAGUGUUUCUCAUUAUCAGCUGCGGGGCUGCCAGACCUGGGAGGUGUUUGUUUCCUAUUACUCUCCUUGUCCCUCCUGCUGUGCAUGAUUUGUCCUAGAACAGAAGACAAGGAGAGCCCUAGGAAAAAGAUGUCACAGGGCAGGUGUUUUCUCCGUAAUCCUGCACAACUCGACCACCCACCUCACCGCAGGCUCAGAUGCACAGGGGAACGCCACAGGAGAGUGAGCAAAGCUGUCUUCACCUUCUCAGCCUCCUCACAGGCUCUGCAAAGAGUCAAAAUAACUUUCAGGUUGCCUCCUCCCCCAGCAGAGGAGGAAAAGGGAUUUCUUUUUCAUCCGUGUUAUGGCCCCAGGCUGGCUGUUCGGUGACCGGAUCAGACCCCAGCCAAGGUGACGCCCUGCUCUGCUCUGCCCAGGGGAAGAAGCAACAGUGGCCUGAUGAGUUUUCCUUGCUGUUUGUGUAAGGCUCUAAAGAUGAACUGCACUCGUCGGUAGCCGUGGGUUGCUUUUCCACCUGUAGCUGGAUGUUUGUAAGAUAUGAAGAAGACAUACGAUGGAAACAGAAAUGUUUUUUCUUCUCUCUGAUGCCUGCUGAAGGAUCGUGGAGUUUCUCUGGGCACGUUUCCAGCUUUGUGAAAGGAUAAUACAGUGCUGAUGAUUUUCAGUACGUACAACUGUAACAAGUGCAUGUGGUUUCCAUGUGGAACUGAAAGCUUGUGCUAAUGUCCUCCCAGGAGGGGAAAACCGCAGCCCCAUGCAGAGUACACUUCUCAACGUUAUGCGAGACAAGUAACAACAUCAGCUUUCUGUGGAAAUCUCAUCUUGUCCUCUCCUGACAUCUUUAUGGCAUGCCAAAUAUAGGGGGAUUGCUGGAGAUGGGCCUGUGAAGUGGCAAGCCCAGAGAUCACGUCAGGAUACACACUGGAGCAAUAGCCAGGGGCACCAGCAGAGCCAGGCUGCUACGAGCACGUGUCUGACCACCGUCCUGCAAUGGCAGCCAAAGAGGUUCACAGAGAAUGCAUUGUUCGAUGGAGAGCCGAGCUGCAGAGGUUGGAGCAAUUUCAUAAGCAGAAAGUUAUGGCAAGGUGUCCACCAGGAGCCUUUGGAUGGAAGGGAAACCCUACAGCACAGGCUGCUAAGGAAAUGAGCUUUACGUUGCUCCGCUCUAAGAAUGGAGGGGAAAAAAAAACAACACUAAAUAAAGGUGUCAUUGCCUUUCACUUUGCUCAGUUUGUCAAUACCAGGGCAGAAAACAUCGUGUUGUACGUACAGGAACUCGUCCUGAAUUUCUGAAAGGAUUUAUUGCUGAGCUAGCACCUUCCAGCACAAAGCAUCCUGCUCCGACGCGGUGGCCAUAGCAGUGAUGCUAAUGUGUUGUCCUUAUGGAGAGAGAGAUUUAUGCUGGGACCUGCUGCCCCGAUGCACUGCAUCCCCUACAAACCCCAUGGUCAUCUUUGGCGCAGAGACUCCCUUCUGACCAACCCAAGCCCUGCUGAGUUCCAGUUAAGUGCAUUUUUACUGAUAUUGUGGAUGAAGUGUUUUACUCAGAGGCUUUUCUGUUCCCCCAAGGGCUUCAUUGGCAUGCCCAGGCCACAGGCUUCUCUCACGCUUGCCCAGCUCUCAGAAAGAGGAGGAGAAAUAAACUUGGAGAGACACUGGCUUCUGCAGGGGAAGGAUUAAAGCACCCGGCGAUUUCUGAGAACUCCCCUCUGCAGUGAUGACAAAUAUCCUGACACAACUGGAGAGAGACAAAGCUGUCCCCUGAGUAGGAUCAGGGCUGGCUAGCACAGCAGGAAGAACUAGAUGGGAUUCUUUGAGGUUUUUCUUUCUCUGAAAAGAACACGCCAUGCCUCGGAGAGUCCUUCUUACCAAGUGAUGCUUCCCUCCGAAAGCCAAAGGCCUCUUCAACAAAGGAUAAGUUAUCCAGUUCCUUUUUAUUUCCCCCCAUUAUUCACAGUCGGUUGUAUUUGUCUAAGGCAUGCCAUUGAGAAAGGCACCGUCUGGGGCUGAAGACAUCAAGAAAUGCAGAUCUAUCAUCUCCCAUGACUCUUCUCCCAUGCGAGUAAUCAAGUGCUUUGCCAAAAAGCACUUCACUCUUAAUUUGCAGUUGUCUGCCUUCAGCUGCUGCUGUCCCAUUAGCACCCAUUUACUUUUCCUCCCAAUCUAAGCUCUUAAAUGCAAUGAGCAAGACCCCCUUGAGCCCUCCUUUUGCUAGAGAGGGGGGGUUCCUGGGGGCAUGCCCAGAUCCCCAGGUGGAUGGAGCCCACUGUGAGACCUUCCCAGCCUCUCCUUAGCUUGCUGUUAGCCUAGAGCAAGUCUUCUAGCUUCGAGGGCCAGCACAGAUCCUGAUUCAUCUCCGAGCACCCUGACCACGAGCGGCUCGGCUGAGUCCUUCAUCCCCCUCUCCCCAGAUCGUGGGCCUGGGGUGACUGCUGUGGGGGCAGUUUGGGUCUGCCCACGCACAAGACUCUUUCCCAAGGAUCCCCCUUGGGAUGGUGGCUGAAUAUACAGCUGGAUUUGCUUCUUGGUGCAGGCACCUGAAAAUACUACUUCUACCUGUGAGUAAUUUAUCGAAACUUUUUUUUUUUGCAUUGCUAACAGCUUUUCACCGUCACUGCAGAUGCAGUCCCUGCUCCCUUUCCAACUGAAACCUUCCAGGACACAUUUUCCCGCUGCGUAGAUACCAACUGUAACUGCAACUUUCCACACAGCUCGGUGAAACUGGGAUUUGUCUGAAUACUUUUGGCUGGCUGACAUAUCCCCGUCAUCCCGUGCAAUUGCCCUGCCCUCUCUGCUAGCUGCUGUCCUGCCAAUGCUAAUAUUACCCACGGAUUUUAUCAGCGGCCUCGCGUAGGCAUAUUUCAGGAUUGCUGAUCAAAAAGCUUUUACUCAGUUCCUUUUUGAGAGUAGUGGGAUGACAAGGUCUUUCCUGCAGCUUAUGGGAUCAGUGGAUGAGAUGAACUGGAGCUCUCUUUGUAAGAAGGGUAGUGUACAGAAAUUAUUUAAUUUCUUCUUCUAAAGAGAGAUUUUGCUGAUGUUCUGCUGGCUUUUCUUUGCCUGUCUGGAGUGGAUCUGGAGGCUAUAGUAAAAUUAAGAGAACGCUAUGAUUAUGCCAAAGGUUUUUCCACUGGAAAUGGUGGAACAUUGACAGUUCUUGAUCAAGAAGCUGACAUAAAUCAAUGGUCAUACUUCAUCUGUUGACUCUAUCAUCGGACCCUCGGACAGUCGCACCUGAGCAUCUUCUUGCGUUGGAGGAAGGCACAGAGAACGGAUAGGAAGCGUCAAGCCCCAGUGGGUAGGAGAAGGCCGGCUGGUGGGAACAGCAGCAUGGGGCUGGGGCUGGCCCUCUCAGGCAGCUCGGGGACUUCGGGAGCUGCAAGUCCCAACAACAGAGGCAACAAUUCUGCUAUUGUUGAGGGACAUCUGAGUCUGUUUGUUUGGGCACGGCUGUGGCCCUUUGUGUAACAAUACAACCUUUUGUUUCAGCGCAGCUUUUGAAGUUGAAAGGCAGCGUUCAUCCAGGUACUGAAGCCAGUUUGCUUUUAAUGAGGCUUAAAGGAGCAAAUGGGGUCCUUACAGCUCCCAUGCAGCCAUACGCUGUUGCUAACACCGGUGGAGCCUGGUCGUGCUUGAAUGAAUGCUCUGGGGACUCCCAGGAUGAGGAGAGGUGGAACAGAUCUGUGAAGGCAUCGGAGCACUUCUGAAACGCACCUUCCCUUUGUGUUUCAUCCGGGAGCCAAAGCAGAGGACUUCUCAGCAAGAGAAGCUUCAAGAAGCACAUUCCUGAGCCAAAAUGAAGCUCGGGUGUGGACCGAGGACCAAGCCCUGAGCUUCAGAUGCAGGCAGGUUAAAAGGGGGUGCUCUGGCUGCUCCUGCUCCCAGGUACUUGUGCUAGCGUCCCCAGCUCUGCCGCACUGGUGGUUAAGCUCCCACGGAGCAGCUGCUCAACAGCUGCAGCUUACGCUUCCCAUAUGAAAGAAAGCCCAAAUCUCUGUGAAAUUUCCAGUGGUUUAACAGCUGCUGCUUGAGCCAGGCUGUCUGUGCCAUGUACAUGGGGACGCUGUGGGGGGAAGAGGCAGGCCAGACAGCUGGGAGCUGUAAUUUCUACGGCCGCUUACUUUUUAAUCUGCCUUUACUCAUGUCAGGGCCUUCUGAGUGCAAAUUUGAGAGCGAAGAGGCCUUUGGAUUGCUUUUCCUCCCUUUUCUCACCCCAGCCCCACGAUUGCGGUGUGUCCUGUGAGCCAAAGUCUGUCACGAAAGGAUUUAUUUCUGGGGAAGCUUUUCGGUGGGCUUCAUCUCGACUAACUUCUAGACAUCCAAGCAAGUCAACUCAAAAGCUCAUUAUCGGGAAUGCAGAGGAGUACGGUUCAGCAAAGUGCCAUUCAGCUGAAUUGGAUGGCAUUUUUAGGAACAGACAACUUGCUUUCUGAAGACAGGAGCUGCCACUGGCUCUCAAAUUCCUUUUUUUUUUAUUUUUUUUUGGCUGCAGCUGGGAUAGACCCUGGGAUGUGCUGGAUCUUCUGGGAAGGCAGAAGGCAGAGGUGUCCUGCAGAGAUGAUAAACUCUUGAAGGAGGAGAGCCACUAAAAAUCAGGAAAUCAGUUGUGUACUUGGAAAAACCCACGCGGAGUCAUUUGCCGAAGGUUCUGGAGGGUGUUUAAAAUAUCUACACGUUAACAGGCUGUGGUGUGACCAGCUGGCCAGCCUGGGAGAGCAAAAGGUUUUAUGCCCAGGACGUAGCGGGGAAAAGUCUGGGUCACCGGAAGGGCUUCGUUUACCUCAGUCAACAAUAAAGUGCAGGCUAAAAUCUGUGGUAUUGCUGGGAUUUCUUCUAAAAAUGCCUGGUGCAAAGACUUAAUUUUAUGUCCUGACGUUUUGCGUUCUCUCUACAUUUAUAAAAAAUAAAACAAAUCAUUAAUUCUCAAUCAAAACCAGUUCUUAAUUCUACUUCUUAAUGAAAUUGCAUUUGUGCCACGAAU